CUCAGGUGGUGCUCAUUGAUCUUGCACAAAAUGGUGAUCCGAGAUUAAAAUCAACAGUUGCAAAAGUUUUGGUGCAGCUAGAGCUCCUGCAAGAUCAAUCUGGUUACUUUUUAGUCAUUUAAGCAAUGUUGCGCAUGCAAUUUUGUUUUAUACUUUCAUACGCAUUGUUGCUUUAUGACUCUGUUCAUAUUAUUUAAUUUUUUCCCCC
rnacentral:misc_RNA from 1 species